GCCCUCGUGGUGUAGUGGUCAGCACGCUGGACGCGUAACCGAGAGGUCCGUGGUUCGAUUCCCGGCGAAGACG
rnacentral:tRNA from 1 species